rnacentral:sRNA from 1 species
AUGGGUCUAGGAAAGACAAUCCAGGCAAUUGGAAUUGCUUACUUCUAUAAAGAGGAAUGGCCUCUGUUAAUAGUGGUCCCUUCGUCUCUGAGGUACCCUUGGACAGAAGAAAUCGAAAAAUGGAUCCCAGAGCUAAGUCCAGAAGAAAUCAGUGUUAUUCAGAAUAAAACUGAUGUUAGGAGAAUAUCGACCAGUAAAGUGACAGUUCUGGGUUAUGGUCUCUUAACCACAGAUGCAAAGACUUUGAUAGAUGCCCUGAAUAAUCAGAACUUCAAAGUAGUUAUAGUGGAUGAAUCACACUACAUGAAAUCCAGAAAUGCAACUCGCAGCAGGAUUUUAUUGCCAAUAGUACAGAAAGCCAGACGAGCCAUUCUUCUUACAGGAACACCAGCUUUAGGAAGGCCUGAAGAGCUUUUUAUGCAGAUUGAAGCUCUCUUUCCACAAAAAUUUGGAAGAUGGACCGACUAUGCAAAAAGAUACUGUAAUGCACGCAUCAGAUAUUUUGGUAAAAGACCUCAGUGGGAUUGUAGAGGGGCAUCAAAUCUUAAUGAACUUCACCAGCUAUUAAGUGACAUAAUGAUUAGAAGAUUAAAGACUGAAGUUUUAACCCAGCUACCCCCUAAAGUCAGACAGCGUAUUCCAUUUGAUCUUCCAUCAGCAGCUGCCAAGGAAUUGAAUACCAGCUUUGAAGAGUGGGAAAAAAUAAUGAGAACUCCAAAUUCAGGUGCCAUGGAGACAGUCAUGGGGUUGAUAACUCGCAUGUUUAAACAAACUGCUAUUGCCAAGGCAGGUGCUGUAAAGGAUUAUAUUAAGAUGAUGCUUCAGAAUGAUUCGCUUAAAUUUCUGGUUUUUGCUCACCAUUUAAGCAUGCUCCAAGCUUGCACAGAAGCAGUCAUCGAAAAUAAGACUCGUUACAUUAGGAUAGAUGGAAGUGUUUCAUCUUCAGAAAGAAUACAUCUGGUUAAUCAGUUUCAAAAGGAUCCUGACACUCGCGUGGCUAUCCUAAGCAUUCAGGCUGCUGGCCAGGACCUGUAUGGCAAGGUGGCCUGGGGGAAAAUAACUCUUGUCUCAGGACUUUUUAUAGAGUGCUUCUGUUUUGUCCCUUAGGAUUAAGUUUGAAGGGAUUAACAUUUACUGCAGCAAGUCAUGUUGUAUUUGCUGAGUUGUAUUGGGACCCUGGACAUAUAAAACAAGCA